rnacentral:rRNA from 1 species
GACGAACGCUGGCGGCGUGCUUAACACAUGCAAGUCGAACGGAAAGGCCCUGCUUUUGUGGGGUGCUCGAGUGGCGAACGGGUGAGUAACACGUGAGUAACCUGCCCUUGACUUUGGGAUAACUUCAGGAAACUGGGGCUAAUACCGGAUAGGAGCUCCUGCUGCAUGGUGGGGGUUGGAAAGUUUCGGCGGUUGGGGAUGGACUCGCGGCUUAUCAGCUUGUUGGUGGGGUAGUGGCUUACCAAGGCUUUGACGGGUAGCCGGCCUGAGAGGGUGACCGGCGACAGUCGGGAGGAGCUGCGGCCCGUGUCGGUAGGGGGGGCAGGAGGUGUGAAGACGUAGCAGUGGGCGGACGCAGGAGGCAGCGCCGGGGGGUGCGGGAUGACGGCCUUCGGGUUGUAACCCUCGUUCGAUUGGGGGGAAGCGUGAGGGAAGGUAAUGGGAAAAGAAGCACGGGCACCCUACUUGCGAGCAGCCGGGGUAAAGACGAAACCACACGUCUGACC